rnacentral:rRNA from 2 species
UGCAGCAGAGCUCCGACCUUCGGGGACGAGCGCUUUUAUUAGACCAAAACCAAUCGGACCUCGUGUCCGUCCUUUGUGGUGACUCUGUAUAACUUUGGGCUGAUCGCACGGGCCUGUCCCGGCGACGUAUCUUUCAAGUGUCUGCCUUAUCAACUUUCGAUGGUAGGUUACGCGCCUACCAUGGUCGUAACGGGUAACGGGGAAUCAGGGUUCGAUUCCGGAGAGGGAGCCUGAGAAACGGCUACCACAUCCAAGGAAGGCAGCAGGCGCGCAAAUUACCCACUCCCAGAACGGGGAGGUAGUGACGAAAAAUAACAAUACGGGACUCUUUUGAGACCCCGUAAUUGGAAUGAGUACACUCUAAAUCCUUUAACGAGGAUCCAUUGGAGGGUAAGUCUGGUGCCAGCAACCGCGGUAAUUCCAGCUCCAAUAGCGUAUAUUAAAGUUGUUGCGGUUAAAAAGCUCGUAGUUGGAUCUCAGUUCCAGACGGGUGGUCCGCCUACCGGUGGUUACUGCCUGUUCUGAACAGUCAGCCGGUUUCUCUUGAUGAUCUUCACCGGUUGUCUUGGGUGACCGGCAAGUUUACUUUGAAAAAAUUAGAGUGCUCAAAGCAGGCGUGACGCCUGAAUAAUGGUGCAUGGAAUAAUGGAAUAGGACCUCGGUUCUAUUUUGUUGGUUUUCGGAACACGAGGUAAUGAUUAAGAGGGACAGACGGGGGCAUUCGUAUUGCGACGCUAGAGGUGAAAUUCUUGGACCGUCGCAAGACGAACUACUGCGAAAGCAUUUGCCAAGAAUGUUUCCAUUAAUCAAGAACGAAAGUUAGAGGUUCGA